rnacentral:rRNA from 1 species
UCCGUAGGGUGCAAGCGUUGUCCGGAAUUAUUGGGCGUAAAGAGCUCGUAGGCGGUUUGUCGCGUCUGCUGUGAAAACUCGGGGCUUAACCCCGGGCCUGCAGUGGGUACGGGCAGACUAGAGUGCGGUAGGGGAGACUGGAAUUCCUGGUGUAGCGGUGAAAUGCGCAGAUAUCAGGAGGAACACCGGUGGCGAAGGCGGGUCUCUGGGCCGUAACUGACGCUGAGGAGCGAAAGCAUGGGGAGCGAACAGG